GCACCUUCAUUGACCACUGGCGGAAAGAAGUUCAAGCUAGAAAACACCCUGCUUCUGCCUGCCCACUCCGAGAAUCUCGAGUUCCCGGCUAAAGGAACUCUCAGUGAAGAUACUAUUAGGGUGUUUCUGCAUCAGAUCGCAGCUGCCAUGCAGAUUCUGCACAGCAAAGGAAUAAUCCACAGGGAUCUCAAACCCCAGAACAUCUUGCUGUCAUAUGCGAAUCGCAGAAAAUCCACCAUCAGUGGUAUUCGCAUCAAAAUAGCGGAUUCUGGGUUUGCCCGUUACCUGCAGAGUAACAUGAUGGCUGCAACGCUGUGUGGGUCCCCAAUGUACAUGGCUCCUGAAGUUAUUAUGUCUCAACAUUAUGAUGCUAAGGCAGACCUGUGGAGCAUAGGAACAGUGAUAUAUCAAUGCCUAGUUGGAAAACCACCUUUUCAGGUAGCCUGACU